GACCUCAGUUCAGGUGAGAUUACCGGCUGAAUUUAAGCAUAUUACUAAGCCGAGGAAAAGAAACUAACAAGGAUUCCCCUAGUAGCGGCGAGCGAAGCGGGAAGAGCUCAAAUUUGUAAUCUGGCGCUUUCAGCGUCCGAGUUGUAAUCUCUAGAAAUGUUUUCCGCGUUGGACCGCACACAAGUCUGUUGGAAUACAGCGGCACAGUGGUGAGACCCCCGUUCAUGGUGCGGAUGCCCAAUGCUUUGUGAUACAUUUUCGAAGAGUCGAGUUGUUUGGGAAUGCAGCUCAAAAUGGGUGGUAAAUUCCAUCUAAAG
rnacentral:rRNA from 1 species